AUUAUAUUCAUUUAAUUUCAGUUAAGAGAAAAUGAUUAAUACAAAGGGAUUAGGGUUACGUGAACAUUGGAAUUUCAUCCUUCUUCUUCACGUGAGCGGCGAACGGCGGCACAUCAACAACCUUCUCCGAGCUCUUUUCUCCGAUCAACCUCUCUGGCUCUCUCUCUCGAUUUCACUCUCAUGUUGUUCGUCUCCGAUUCUCUCUCGAAUAUCUCGCAUCUCAGUGAUACGUCUCGUUUCCUAAUCUAAUCGGAGAAGCUCCGAUAGAGAUUCCAAGACGUUGGUGACGAGAGAUUAAGGUCAUCAUACGCGUUUCCUCCAUCCGAUUCAUGCUUCUUCUUUGGAUUAUUGCUGAACUUUAUGGAUCGUUGUUGUUGGAUGCGAGACCUGAUGCCGGUUGAUGAUGAAGUUGCGUGAAGCUCGUGAAGAUGAAGCUUCCAUGAACUUGAUGUGUGAAGAGCGUGAAGCGUGACCUUAUGCCGCGGUGCUGAAGACGUUGCAGAGAAUAUGUGAAGAGUGAUUGAAUUGCUGUCGAAGAUGAAGAUUCACGAGAUCGCAUUGAUGGAGGAGAUUCUGCCGAGAAGGUUGAGAUUGAAGAAUCAAAGAUGAUGAAGAACGAGGGAGCUCUCGUUGCUAUUCUCAGUGAUGAAGAUCACGGAUUUGGUUCAAGAUCCAGAGAAAAGUGCAAUUCGGUUAGAGGAUGAAGAUGAGGAUUGUUGAAUUCUCCAGGUGAUUGAUGAAGAGUUUGUGAUUUGUUGAAGAUUGGAGAGUAACCGAGAGCGAGGACAAGUUUGUUACGGUUUCUCUUCCAAUUUCUGUUACCAGGUUGAAUCAAGAGAGAAAGAAUUGAAGAGAAUCGUGAAUGUGAAGAUGAUGAAGAUAGCAGGAGUGAUGAUGAACGAUGAAGGUUCUUGAAGAGGCUCAAAGUUUGUUACGUUUAGGUUAUGAAGUCUUUUUCGGUUUUUUUUUGUUAUGUUGUGUGGUGAAUGGACGAGUUGUAGUGAGUUAGAUCCAGUAACUUCUGCAUAACUUUGGUUUUU